GCUCCCUUCCUUCCGCGGCUUCUUCUUUCCCUGUGUCCGAAGAGGUCUGCGUUGCGACUUACGUGGUAGUGCUUGGAAGGUGCGGAGUAGAUGAGAGAUAAGUGAAUGUGGACAAACCUGUCACGUAGGACGAGGUGGCCGAGUGGUUAAGGCGAUGGACUGCUAAUCCAUUGUGCUUUGCACGCGUGGGUUCGAAUCCCAUCCUCGUCGGCCCUGUUUUAUAGAGGUUGGGGGGGAAGCAUCUACAUUUUCACAUCCUGCCUAUUUGGAGCAGCAAGCUGGAGGUGCGAGGGGUGAGGCAUCUAAAUUUUCACAUCCUGCCUGUGGAGCAGCAAGCUGAAGAAAACUGAACUGGGGCCCAGAGCAAAAACACACACUGAGUACCUGGUCUCUGCCAGGAACUGUGUUAGGCACGAGGGAUGGGCCUUGGAGGAGACACAGCCCCUGCACCCUGAGCUGAUGAAGUUGUGCUGGGUCUACUGGGAAGGAGGAUGGGAAGACGGAAUCCCAGGUUGUGACAUCAUGAUCCUGAGGGCACUCCAAGUGGAUGAAGAGCAGCUCCUGCCCGCUGCUGGCAGCCUCAGGCCCAGGGGCCUCCACCCCGCAGAGGCCUGAGCCAAGCUCGCCAUUCGCCCUGGGCUGGAUCUCAGCUCCGGAAGGAGACGUCGAGAAGAGGCUGCCAAAGAGCCUGGAGGGGCCACUUCAGAGCAGCGCCUUGAAGAGGAAGGAGAGGGAGGCUCCACAGGAAAGUCCCAGGGCCAGGAAGAAGGUCAUGAGGGCGCCGGCCACCUCCCUCUCGUGUGGCAGCACCUGCCUAGAACACCCGGGAACAGGAGCUCUUAGAAAAUGCUGGGUCUAAAUCUGGACCCAGCUCCACUGCCCUCUGCCCAUCCAGUCUGGGCUCUGACCCAACCCCUCUGUCACCAUAACUGGCCCCUUCUUUCCGGGCCUCAGUUUCCUGGUCUGUAAAUGAGGCUGCUGGAUAAGGAUGUCUCUCAGGGCCUCUGAGUCUAACAUGAUGGGAUUCCAG
rnacentral:tRNA from 1 species